rnacentral:rRNA from 1 species
AUGGUCCGACGGGGCUACAUAUACAGGGAGAAAUGUGACGUGAACGCCACAAGACAAAAGGCAGUAGACCAACCAGCCAUGACGGGGCGCGCUGCAGCCAUCCUUGUGUUCAUGCUCUCGCUCACGGCGGUGGCCCUCCUCGUCGCCGCCGACGGCGUUGACGUGGACACCAUCCGCCUCCCUAGCGACGGCGGCGAUGGUCUUGCAACGAACAAGGGAGGCGAGGAGCAGACACCACAUGACAAAGUAGUGGGCGCCCUCCAAGCAGAGAAGCCGUGGACGUGCUGCAACAAUACCGUGUGCAAGGAGUCGCUCCCGCCGGUAUGCCUCUGCCUGGACAAGGUGAAGGAGUGCGCCGCCGCGUGCAAGCUGUGCGAGUCGUCCGGGAUCGACCACGUCUGCAACGACUGGUACCGUGGCGACCCAGGGCCCAUGUGCGCCUAG